GUCUCCUACGGGAGGCAGCAGUGAGGAAUAUUGGUCAAUGGACGAGAGUCUGAACCAGCCAAGUAGCGUGAAGGAUGACUGCCCUAUGGGUUGUAAACCUCUUUUGUCGGGGAGCAAAUUCCGCCACGUGUGGCGGAGUCGAGAGUACCCGAAGAAAAAGCAUCGGCUAACUCCGUGCCAGCAGCCGCGGUAAUACGGAGGAUGCGAGCGUUAUCCGGAUUUAUUGGGUUUAAAGGGUGCGUAGGCGGACUGUCAAGUCAGCGGUAAAAUACGGGGGCUCAACCUCCGCCCGCCGUUGAAACUGA
rnacentral:rRNA from 1 species